GAUGAAGAACGCAGCGAAAUGCGAUAAGUAAUGUGAAUUGCAGAAUUCAGUGAAUCAUCGAAUCUUUGAACGCACAUUGCGCCCGCUAGUAUUCUGGCGGGCAUGCCUGUCCGAGCGUCAUUUCAACCCUCAAGCCCCGGGCUUGGUGUUGGGGAUCGGCGAGCCUCCGCGCCCGCCGUCCCCUAAAUCUAGUGGCGGUCUCGCUGUAGCUUCCUCUGCGUAGUAGCACACCUCGCACUGGGAAACAGCGCGGCCACGCCGUUAAACCCCCAACUUCUGAACGUUUGACCUCGGAUCAGGUAGGAAUACCCGCUGAACUUAAGCAUAUCAAUAAGCGGAGGA
rnacentral:misc_RNA from 1 species